rnacentral:misc_RNA from 1 species
AGUGACUUCAAAUUGUAUAGCUUUGUCCAUUGCCUCCACAAACUUGCCAUUUCUAUCAAAAGAAUUGUAAGUGAAUCAUGUGCAAAUAAGAAAUAGAAUGCUGCCAUUUUCAUUGCACCUUCAAACUUCGCAGCGCUAGUAGUAAAAUUAAAAUGUUGCAUGCACUUUGUACAACUUUUUUAUUCAUAAUUUUGACACCAUUUUCAUUUUCAAUUCAAACUAAACUUUUAUCCCAAAAA